UACGUAGGUGGCAAGCGUUAUCCGGAAUUACUGGGCGUAAAGCGCACGCAGGUGGCUUUCUAAGAUUGACGUGAAAACUGCUGGCUUAACUGGCAGACGUCGUUGAUGACUGGGAGGCUUGAGGCGAGGAGAGGGGUGUAGAAUUCCCGGUGUAGUGGUGGAAUGCGUAGAGAUCGGGAGGAAUACCAGAGGCGAAAGCGGCACCCUGGCCUUGGCCUGACGCUCAGGUGCGAAAGCGUGGGGAGCGAACGGG
rnacentral:rRNA from 1 species